AGAAUCAACGCUGGCGGCGUGCCUAACACAUGCAAGUCGAACGAGAAAGUGGAGCAAUCCAUGAGUAAAGUUGCGCACGGGUGAGUAACACGUGACUAACCUACCCUUGAGUGGGGAAUAACUUCGGGAAACCGAGGCUAAUACCGCAUAACACCUACGGGUCAAAGGAGCAAUUCGCUUAAGGAGGGGGUCGCGGCAGAUUAGUUAGUUGGCAGGGUAAUGGCCUACCAAGACGGUGAUCUGUA
rnacentral:rRNA from 1 species